UAAACGACUCUCGGCAACGGAUAUCUCGGCUCUCGCAUCGAUGAAGAACGUAGCGAAAUGCGAUACUUGGUGUGAAUUGCAGAAUCCCGUGAACCAUCGAGUCUUUGAACGCAAGUUGCGCCCGAAGCCUUCUGGCCGAGGGCACGUCUGCCUGGGUGUCACGC
rnacentral:rRNA from 1 species